rnacentral:rRNA from 1 species
CGUAGGGUGCGAGCGUUAAUCGGAAUUACUGGGCGUAAAGCGUACGCAGGCGGUUUGUUAAGAUAGGCGUGAAAUCCCCGGGCUCAACCUGGGAACUGCGCUUAUGACUGGCAAGCUAGAGUACGGCAGAGGGGGGUGGAAUUCCACGUGUAGCAGUGAAAUGCGUAGAGAUGUGGAGGAACACCAAUGGCGAAGGCAGCCCCCUGGGUCGAUACUGACGCUCAUGCACGAAAGCGUGGGUAGCAAACAGGAUUAGAUACCCUGGUAGUCCACGCCCUAAACGAUGUCAACUAGGUGUUGGAUGGGUAAAACCAUUUAGUACCGGAGCUAACGCGUGAAGUUGACCGCCUGGGGAGUACGGCCGCAAGGUUA